rnacentral:rRNA from 1 species
UACGAAGGGGGCUAGCGUUGUUCGGAAUUACUGGGCGUAAAGGGUUCGUAGGUGGCUUACUAAGUCAGACGUGAAAUCCCUCAGCUUAACUGGGGAACUGCGUCUGAUACUGGAAAGCUUGAGUGCAGGAGAGGAACGCGGAAUUCCAGGUGUAGCGGUGAAAUGCGUAGAUAUCUGGAGGAACACCGGUGGCGAAGGCGGCGUUCUGGACUGCAACUGACACUGAGGAACGAAAGCCAGGGGAGCAAACGGG